UGGGGAAUAUUGGACAAUGGGGGGAACCCUGAUCCAGCCAUGCCGCGUGUGUGAAGAAGGCCUUAUGGUUGUAAAGCACUUUAAGCAGUGAAGAAUACAUCAUGGCUAAUAUCCGUGAUGAAUGACAUUAGCUGCAGAAUAAGCACCGGCUAACUCUGUGCCAGCAGCCGCGGUAAUACAGAGGGUGCGAGCGUUAAUCGGAAUUACUGGGCGUAAAGCGAGCGUAGGUGGUUUAUUAAGUCAGAUGUGAAAUCCCUGGGCUUAACCUAGGGACUGCAUCUGAUACUGACAAACUAGAGUAGGUGAGAGGAAAGUAGAAUUCCAGGUGUAGCGGUGAAAUGCGUAGAGAUCUGGAGGAAUACCGAUGGCGAAGGCAGCUUUCUGGCAUCAUACUGACACUGAGGUUCGAAAGCGUGGGUAGCAAACAGGAUUAGAUACCCUGGUAGUCCACGCCGUAAACGAUGUCUACCAGUCGUUGGGUCUUUUAAAGACUUAGUGACGCAGUUAACGCGAUAAGUAGACCGCCUGGGGAGUACGGCCGCAAGGUUA
rnacentral:rRNA from 1 species